UACCUGUGGGGCAAGCGUUGUUCGGAAUUACUGGGCAUAAAGGGUGCGUAGGCGGCUUGUUAAGUCAGGGGUGAAAUCCCACGGCCCAACCGUGGAACUGCCUUUGAUACUGGCGAGCUUGAGUGCGUGAGGGGUAACCGGAACGAGUAGUGUAGCGGUGAAAUGCGUAGAUAUUACUCGGAAGGCCAAAGGCGAAGGCAGGUUACUGGUACGCAACUGACGCUGAUGCACGAAAGCGUGGGGAGCAAACAGG
rnacentral:rRNA from 1 species